GACGAACGCUGGCGGCGUGCCUAAUACAUGCAAGUAGAACGCAGUUGCGAACGGGUGAGUAACGCGUAGGUAACUGCCUCAUAGCGGGGGAUAACUCUUGGAAACGAUAGCUAAUACCGCAUACUGUGCGAUGGACCUGCGUUGUAUUAGCUAGUUGGUGGGGUAAAGGCUCACCAAGGCGACGAUACAUAGCCGACCUGAGAGGGUGUUCGGCCACCACGGGACUGGUACAAGGCCCAGGCUCCUUCGGGAGGCCGCAAUAGGGAAUCUUUGGCAAUGGACGGAAGGCUGACUGAGCAACGCCGCGUGAGUGAAGAAGGUUGUUGGAGCGUAAAGCUCUUUUGAUAGAGAAGCGUUACCUAACCAGAAAGGGACGGCUAACUACGUGCCAGCAGCCGCGGUAAUUC
rnacentral:rRNA from 1 species